rnacentral:rRNA from 1 species
GACGAACGCUGGCGGCGUGCCUAAUACAUGCAAGUCGAACGCAGUUGCGAACGGGUGAGUAACGCGUAGGUAACUGCCUCAUAGCGGGGGAUAAAUAUUGGAAACGAUAGCUAAUACCGCAUACUUUGAGAUGGACCUGCGUUGUUUUAGCUAGUUGGUGAGGUAAAGGCUCACCAAGGCGACGGUACAUAGCCGACCUGAGAGGGUGGUCGGCCACACUGGGAAUUGGACACGGCCCAGGCUCCGACGGGCAGCAGCAGUAGGGAAACUUCGGCAAAGGACGGAAGGCUGAACGAGCAACGGCGCGUGAGAGAAGAAGGUUUUCGGAUCGUAAAGCUCUGUUGUUAGAGAAGCGGUACCUAACCAGAAAGGGACGGCUAACUACGUGCCAGCAGCCGCGGUAAUUC